rnacentral:SRP_RNA from 1 species
CCUGGACAUGCAGGUUCACCUUCAUCAUCCCAACGACUUGGGAGGCUGAGGCAGGAGGAUUGCUUGAGCCCAGGAGUUCUAGGCUGUAGUACACUAUGCCCAACAGGUCUCUGGACUGUUUGGCAUCAAUAAUGUGACCUCCUGGGAGUGGGGCCACCAGGUUGCUCCAGGAGGGUGAAUUGGCACAACUUGGAAACAGAGCAAGUCAAAACUCAUGCUGAUCAGUAAGUGAGUAGCCACUGCACUCCAGUCUGGGCAACAUGGUGAGAUCUCAUCUCU